CUGUCCCGCCCCCUCAGGGCGCGGGGCUCAAAGAGCGCGGGGCGGGCCCGGCCGGCACCUCCUGCCCCUGCCGGGGAGAGCCGAGAGCCCGAGCCGCUCCGCAGCCGCCAGCAUGAACAAGGGCAUCUUGCACACGCUUAAAACGAAGAGAGAACUCAUUCCCCUGGCCGGAAUAUUGUCCUUGGCAGCAGCUGGGGCGUUCUCUUUUUGUGUCUAUUCACUAUUCCGCAAAUCUGAUGUGAUCAUUCACAAGAUUGGCAGUUCAGAACCAUGGGAAACUAUUGAUCCUGCCAAGCCUCAGAAGCUGGUGACAAUCAGUCAGCAGUGGCGACCGAUAGAAGAGCUGGAAGAGGUCAAAAAGCUUACGAAGUGAGAAGUUUCUGUUGCCUAAAAAGGUACCCUAUGAAUCUAGUGGAAUCAUUUCUGCACAAACUUGACUACUGAAAUCAGUGUGCGGAAAUGCUUCUGCUACAUUUUUAGGGUCUCCCUACAUUUUUUUGGACUCUGGAUGAGGAGUUUCAUGUUGCUUUAGAAGCUGGCAUACAGCAUCCACAUAGUCCAAAAAUCUGACUCAAAAUAUUCAUUUUCAAUAAGCAUUUAAUGUAAAUUUUUGAGUAUUCAGAUGGUAAUUAUGGAUCAAAAAAGCCUUCAUAGUUUUUGUAGAAUUUCAGGAUUUGUUUCAAAAUACAUUAGUUUUGCCAUUUUACUCAUUUUUAAUAAAAUAAAUUCUAAGUUUAUACAUUUCAUGUAAAUUGCCCAAAAGCCUUUCUAAAUUGUAAUUCCUGGUCUCCUUCCUUUCUAUUCUGUAUUUCAAUGUUAUAUAGAGACCAAAGUCAUAGCCAGAGGAUGUCUUUGUAUGGCAGCAUAUGUGGUCAUACAGUACACUUGCAUUCCUUGUCUGUGUUAGAUGUGCGGACAGAUUAAGUCAAAACUAAUGUUGUGCUGCAAAUACUGAAACUUAUCCAUUGAGGAGUCCAAUAGGUUAUUUAAGGAUUUGUUUGAGACUGCAGAUUUAGAACCUCAAAACCUAAGAGUUAAGCAUGGCUAGAAAAGAAAUGAAAAUCAGGUAAUUUCUUUUGUAUUUAAAUAUUGUUCAUGAUUAAAUUUUUUGAUGGUACUAGAAUUAGAAAAUCUGCAUUAUCCAAAACUACACAGUGUUGAUUUCUUCUUUUUGUGCAAGGUUGUUCAAGUGCAAGCUGCAAUGUGCUGCGCAAUUAACAAUGUUUUUAAAGAUUUCUACGUGCUAUUAGGAAUAUGUCUCUUAUCAAAUAGAAACAAAGAGAUUAAAAUUAGGAAUGAUUCUAUGAAGAGACAGUUCUUCUUUAAGAUUCUGUGUGUUUGCUUAUGGGUUGGCCGGGAAAGAAUGUAAUGGGCACGUUCCCAGUAAAAUCAUGAGACAUGCAUCCAAUGGCAGAACGGUCCUUUUGUAGAUAUUUUCUGUAUGUGCCCUCUUCCAAGUUUCUCAAUCUAUUCCACAGUUCCUCUUAAAAUGGAUGGUAAGAACUCAUAAUCCUUUCUGUGAGAAAGAAACCAAAAGUGAAACAGCUGCUAAUUGAGAAAAGUCCCCUUAAAUGAGUAAUAGUCAAGUGCUUUAGGUUAUUCUACUGCAGCAAAGACAAACUUCAUUUAGAAAAGCUGUCUCCUGAAUUCCAAGGUAGCUUGGCUUCAGAAGCUGUUUUCUUCAGCUGAGGAAAAAAAAAUAAUCUAAAUGUUGCAUAAAUAUUUGUUUAUCUAGUAAGGAUGACUCAGCAGCAUUAAUGUUUUAGAGUGAGAGGAACUAGUAGUCUUCAGAAUAAGUCCUUAGCUUGCAUUUAAGGAAUGACAUUACAAGAAGAUUGAAUAGCAUAGAACCACAAAAAUACAGAGCUCUGAGGAAGUUUUAAGUAUUUUAAAACAGAAAAUCUUUAAAAAUAUUUCUCUGUAUUUCCAUAUUUCUACUGGACUGUAGCAAAAACAAAGUGCUGUGCCCUGAGUUGAUGCAUUAAUUGAGUUUGUUCUUCAGUAAGUCACUUUUUUGGCUGCAAAUACUAUGACCUAAAUAUCUGUCAACAUUGGGAAAAUCAGUCGGGAAGUGGCCGUGGCUCUCCUCGGCCCGCAGCUCUUCGUGAACGCUGGGAGCGGAGCGCCAUCGUCUGGAAUAGCCGGGAACGGCCUGGAAGGCAACCAGGUGAGGAGAGUCUUCGUCCAUACAGGACCUUUUCCCAGUAUCACAAUUCUGCUGAAGUCAACAAGAUUUUUUAAAUCCCGGGCACUGGCAAUAAUCUGUUGUGAACAACCACGGGCUGACAUGCACAGCUCCUGCACCAACAAUGUCACCAUGAAUUCAAUUCCCCAGCCUUCCUCUUCAAGAUGGAAUCAAGCAUUGAGAAUUUAACUCAAUCUGCUAAGUGGCAGUUCCACAGAAAUGGAGGGACUUGCCCUGCUCCCAGUGAAUGAAAUUCUGCCAUCAAACUUUUGGCCAAGUUUGUUUUUUUGGUUUUUUUCAUCUAUUCACUUGUGGCAAUACAACCUAUGCAGUGUAUCCCCAAUAGCCAGUGAAAGGACAUUGAGAGCCAGUUAAAGCAACUCUUAGGUUUGCUGCUACUUUCUUUCUAGCUACCUGUUCUUCUAGAAUUAGGUGCUCUU